UCACUGGUCAGGGCUACGGGUUCAAUCAGGUUCGACCAUAGACUAUAUAGAACUCUAUAUAAUACAGUCUAUGGGUUCGACAUGUUAGACGCCUCGUACUACAUUUUUCGAUACAAUGAAUGGAAAACGUGUUUCUAAGGUAACUAAUACACGCUCACUUGAAAUGUGGCUGGUCAAAAUGAGGUCAACAGGGCAAUCAAUGUUCGGAGUUGGCCGCCAGGUAGCCUAAAGUAGGCUUAGGUCUAAUUAAACGCUCUAUUCAGGUUUUUAAGAGAUUGGCUGGCAAUUUAAAUGUAAAUAUCUCUACUCUGUUACUAAUAAUAUAACUUAAAAUAAUAUAAACUGAAAAUAAUUGCCUGUUAAAUACAGUUGGCUACCUCCAACUCUCAAUAUCUCGUGCUCGUCCAGGAGCCUAGGCCCUGCCUAUCCUGACUGUUCGUUUAUAAAGUAGGCCUAGCCUAGCCAGCCAUGUGCAGUGUUUGAGAGGUGGACGGGACGAGCCUAGCCUACACAAUUCCUUUACGUUCUUCUCUACAGAUAUCACUGAAUGGGCAGUACAGGAAUCAACCUGAGUAACAAGUGGCGGGAGUUUUAGUGGGAUUCAGAAAAACCCAACAAACGCAUGAUGGAGAGGAUGAUGCAACCAGCAUUCAUUUUCCAGUUCAAAGACUCUGUGAGCUGGACUGUGCUGACCUGGAGCACACAGGGCCAGCCAGAACAGGAUGUUCUCCUCACUGUACUCUGACCUCAGAAACUCCUGGAAAGCUGCCUGACCAGCUACAGUUGGAAGACCCGGAAACAACACUUCAUGAGCACAGACUGACCCACCCUACUCAGGCUACAUCUGCACUACCACUUCAGCAAGUCUGCGCAUCAAAAAUGCACUUACUUGCAGUAGUGAACCAAAGUGAAGAUCCAUGCCUUUCAAAUGUACUUUCAGACAACUUCACAGAAAGAACUUUAAAAUCCCCUGCUUCAAAUACUCAUAUCUGUCUUUGAUAGAGUUCAUUAUGUGUGUAGAAAUAAUAUAUGAUCGACCCCUCAUAGAUAAACUAGAAGCAAAAAGACACUCACUUUAUGGCCAUGGCCUCCACUGUUGUCUGCCUUGUCCAGUGUCCAGUGAGUGUAAACGUUUGACUGUGAUUUGUAUUGUGGUGGGUCUGCACAUCUCUCUCCAAUAAUGGAACACAUGAAAAUCAGCAUGCAAAGCAUUGUUUUAGGAGUGCUGCCUAACAUGUCUGCCGGAUCUUCAGGGAGACCCAGACUGAAACAGUGAUUUAGAUGGAGUUUUUGAUUUCAGUUGGAGACCUUUGAUAUGUCAGUCAGACAUUCCAUUUAUGAGUUAAAAAGGCUUAGAUGAGAUAUCAAGACAGUCAGAUAUCUGCACUGACUUUCUAAUGUUAAAAGUGAUACAUCUAUCUGUCUAUGUAGGCUUUGAACUAGAGAUUUUAUAUGAUGCAUAUGUCUAUUUUAUAUUGCACAUGAGCCUGUAUAAUCCAACAUGAAUGUAUGUGAAUUCGAAUGACUUGACAUACCAUGGCCCACGUGACUUUGAUUUAUGAGGUUAUUUUGUUACAAACUACUUUAUGCUAACAUUUUUCAUGCUAUACAUUUUUAAGAAUACACAC